rnacentral:rRNA from 1 species
CAAUCUGUCCCUACAUUCCGGAUAAUUGGCCGAAAGGCCUUGUAAUACGGGCGAGGAUGGUGGUGAGGCAUCUCACUAUCAGGGAAGGUGCAACGCAAGUUGUGCCGUGCAGGGAGGGGUUCGCGGCCUAUCAGUUAGUUGGUGGGGUAACGGCCUACCAAGACGACGACGGGUAGCUGGUCUGAGAGGAUGGUCAGCCACAUUGGAACUGAGACACUGUCCAG